rnacentral:snoRNA from 1 species
AUGAGGUAUACCUGAGUCUCCGACGUGUGAAGAGACGGCGGAUUGCCGA